UUCCGGUUGAUCCUGCCGGACCUUACUGCUAUCGGGGUGGGACUAAGACAUGCGAGUCGAGCGUCUCUAGCUAUGUUGAGACGCGGCAGACGGCUCAGUAACACGUGGCUAACCUACCCUCAGGACGAGGAUAAACCCGGGAAACUGGGGCUAAUACUCGAUAGGUGAGAAUGUCUGGAACGAUUUCUCAUUCAAAGGGCUUUAGAAACGUGCUUCUAUAGUCGCCUGGGGAUGGGGCCGCGUCCGAUCAGGUUGUUGGUGAGGUAACGGCUCACCAAGCCUAUAACCGGUACGGGCCGUGAGAGCGGUAGCCCGGAGAUGGGUACUGAGACAAGGACCCAGGCCCUACGGGGCGCAGCAGUCGCGAAAACUCCGCAAUGCACGAAAGUGUGACGGGGCUACCCCGAGUGCCAUCCGCUGAGGAUGGCUUUUCUUUGGUGUAACUAGCCGGGGGAAUAAGGAGAGGGCAAGACUGGUGUCAGCCGCCGCGGUAAUACCAGCUCUCCGAGUGGUAGGGAUGAUUAUUGGGCUUAAAGCGUCCGUAGCCGGCUUAGCAAGUCUCCUGUUAAAUUCAGCGACCUAAUCGUUGAGCCGCGGGAGAUACUACUAGGCUAGGAGGCGGGAGAGGUCGACGGUACUUCUGGGGGUAGGGGUGAAAUCCUAUAAUCCCGGGAGGACCACCAGUGGCGAAGGCUGUUGACUAGAACGCGCUCGACGGUGAGGGACGAAAGCUGGGGGAGCGAACCGGAUUAGAUACCCGGGUAGUCCCAGCCGUAAACGAUGCGGCUAGGUGUUGGGGUGGCUACGUGCCACUUCAGUGCCGCAAGGAAGCCAUUAAGCCCGCCGGCCUGGGGAGUACGGGCCGCAAGGCUGAAACUUUAAGGAAUGGGCGGGGGAGGCACCACAGGCGUGAAGCUUGCCGGUUCAUUUGGACUCAACGCCGAA
rnacentral:rRNA from 1 species